ensembl:lncRNA
AAAAAACUGUGAAAUAAUCCACCACCACAACCUGAAAGUCAGUUGAGCAGCAUCAACAGAGGUUGCCUUUUCGUAUCUGAUCUCCCUCGGUAAGGCUGAGAAUAAAUCUUAAAAGAGGGAAGCAUCAAGAUGGCGAGCGGUGAAGACAGAGCUACCACUACCAUUAAUCACAUUGUUGACCGGACCCUUUAUGAUGAUUCAAGCCAAGAAGGAACAGAGGAACAAACUUUAGAAGCUUUACAGGAACAGCUUCUUGAAAAAGAGAGAAAGAUCCAGCGGUUGACAGAUCAGCUCUCAAGGUCACACCAAGUGCACAUCAAGGGCCUCUCACAACCAGUACAGCGAGUCCAGAAUGACAUCGUCAUCCUCAUUGACUCCAAUGGCAGAUUCAUAAGUGAGACAAAACUUUUCCCCAGGGACAAAGUGGUUAAAUUCGAUUGCCCAAAUACUCAAAAAGCCAUUGAACUUCUGUCAGAGGAGCAUUUGGGAACCCCGACCCAUAUCAUCAUCCACACGGGCUCCAGUCAGCUGAGGAGAGAGCAGGACAGACUGUCAGAAUCUCUGAAAGGAGUCAUAGAGAAAGCUUCCAACACUUUCCCUAACAGCAGAGUUGUCAUGUCAGCCCUACUUCCAAUGAAAUACAUGCACACUGACACCAUCAACAAGAUCAACAUCAAACUCGAAAAGGAGUGUGAGAAGUUGCCUAAUGUCCACUUCGCCAAACACUCUGAGCUAGAUGUAACUUCUCUUUAUGAUGACAUCCAUCUGUCAAAACACAAAGUCCACAUUUUUGCCCAGAAAUUGAAAGAUUUGGCUCUUGACAGAUACCCAUCCACACACCAAAGAAAUGUCCAGGGAAGAAGCAGCUCAAUCAAUAAUUUUUAUUUUAAUUUUAAGUGAUCCUAAGAUCUAGUUUAUUUGGACUCUGCAUCAAGGCUGUUAAUGGAGGUUAAAAGUAACACAUAAGCAAAGACAAACACAAGAAGCCAAGUCUAAUUAACAAACAGUAACUGAGUGAACUGUCAAAGAAAGAAGAAUGAAGAAAUGUGCCCAAUUACUAAAAGCAAAAUAAAUAAAUAUAUAAAUUAAAUAAAAAUAAAGCCAAAGAAGAACCAAAAAGAAUCUUAGAAUCCAGGACCAGGACUCUUUUUGUCGUUGUUGCUGUUUUUUAAUAUGACAUUUUAGUCUCAGUUCCUCUUUCAUUUUAAAGUUUUAGUUUAAACACUAGGCUGUGCCACUUACAAUAAAACAUGGUUUUACAUGUGCUUAUAACUUUUCCUCUUUUUCAUAAAUGGAGGUUGCAUUUAUUUGGUUUAAGAGACUUUUACAUUCAUUUUUUCUUAUUUCCUAAAGUAUAUUUUACUAGAUUUUGCAAGAGAAAAUGUAUCCAAUUUCGUGUCAAUGACAAACCAAUACACAAGUCACCACUGAGCAGGCAGUUGAAUUUUAUAUUAAUAUUUUAGUUCAUAAAUAAUUGCACAAAUGGUUAAGGUUAAGGAUGUUAUGGUUAAGGACGAUCUUGAAUAAAAUAGUCCCUUUUACUUGUGUGUAUUAAAAAAACAAACAAAAAAAAGGCACAAAAGACAAAAACACAAAGAGGAUAAUCUAAACAGAUGUAUGUAUCCCCCGCAUGAAAUAAAAUGUUCUAGUUUUAGUCACUUCAAAGCAGAUGAAAUAAUAUUUUAAAUACAUUAUUUUCUUCCCAAAAGCAAACUUUUUACAUAAUGACAGACUAGUUGGGAGAUUUGAACUAAAUUGUUUAUUCAACAAAUAUAAUGUUUGAGAUCUUUAUUUUUUGUUGGUACAUCCCUGAAUUUAAUUACAAUAAACUUGGUUCAAAAAGGCAGAAAAGAUGAUAAAAAUCUAAUCAAUUCAAAACUAAAGACAGUAGGUGUCACUUUUUUUUGUUUUCUUCAGAAGUUGUUACAGCAAUUUUCAACUCAUCAGGCUAUAAUGAACCACCUGCUCUCACAAGUGUCUAUUUCAUCACAUUACAAGGAAAAAGUCAAAAAGUUUAUUCUUGACCAAAAUAGAUACACAAGGUAAAAAUAUACAUUAUAGAUCCAGUAUGUUGAUCUUCAUUGUUAUGAUAUUACAUAACAGAAAAAAUACUUUGCAGAAUGGUUGCCAAUACACGACCUAAACUUAACAGAGUAAUUUUGUUGCCUUACAAUUGUAAAACAAAAGAAAUGUAAUAAAAGUCUUCCACUCAUGUCAUUUGAGUCCCCGAGACACCUCUCUACCAUCUAUAUGAGGCAUUUUCUUUCUUCAUGAUAUUCUGUUCUUUUGGUUAUCAUUUCCUCUCAGAGCAUUGUGCAGACUCCCCCAGAACUGCUCCCUCUUCUCUUCCUCCUGUGGCUACUCUAGGUAGCUGGUGGAACUCAACAUUUUGCACAGGUUGUAGAAGCGUUUGGGGACGUCAUCCUUGGACAACGGCCCUAUUAGGAUCAAAAUGGCCGCCUCACCAGUGUUACAAGGUACCUUUGAUGGGCAAGGUACCCACCUAGGUUGAAGGGACCUCGUGGCAUCUUGUAAUCGAAAUUACCAAGUCCCGAAAGUUUGGGAUGAAUUCAUUACAUUUAUGUCAUAUUCCAGUUGAUGUUUCAAGUGACAAUGUACAGCUGUCAAAUUUGGGUAAAUAUAAGUAGAUUAUUAAGUAAGAUAUAAAUCAAAACUACUAUAACCCUGUGAGGUGUAAAAUAUGCUGUGUUAGCUGAUGAUCCUCCCAUAUCAGCCAAUCAAUAACAACAGGCUAUAGCUUUCUUGAGAGGUCAGGGUUGUAACAAUUUUGAGUAGAUAUUUUUCUAAUGAGGAUCACCACAGUAAUAUACAUUGAAAAACAGCUGUACGCACAUUUGAUUCUGUAUUAAACUAUCAUUUUAAAAAUGCCAGAGGUUCUAUUUGUUCAGAAAAAUUACACUGAAACCUUUAUUUACUUAUGAACACAGUAAUGGCUCUAUGGACACCUUGGCUGAAUGCAAAUAAUAUCACAUAAAAACUGCUGUACUUUCCACCCAGCCUGUAAAACAGCCUGUUUGACUUUAGCCGUUAUUUUCAAUAAAUUGCAUAUUCAAAAGAUGUUUUGUCUCACUCCUAUCUCUUCUUGUUGCAUGUUGAGGCGGGGGAUGGAGGGCCAGGGACAGCUUGAGGGCAUGAAGCUGUAACCGGGCCUACUGACUUUCCAGGUGUCUCAGUUUCGAGAACAUUGUGACCAAUCAGAAACGCAGUUUCCGUCUGACUUCUCAGACUUUUUAUCUGAUUUAGUGCUCAGCUCAGAUAAAAUAAUUAUUGUGGGUGAUUUUAACAUUCAUG